rnacentral:rRNA from 1 species
UACGAAGGGGGCUAGCGUUGUUCGGAAUCACUGGGCGUAAAGCGCACGUAGGCGGAUUGUUAAGUCGGGGGUGAAAUCCUGAGGCUCAACCUCAGAACUGCCUUCGAUACUGGCAAUCUCGAGUCCGGAAGAGGUUGGUGGAACAGCUAGUGUAGAGGUGAAAUUCGUAGAUAUUAGCUAGAACACCAGUGGCGAAGGCGACUACCUGGCCUGUUCUUGACGCUGAGGCGCGAAAGCUAGGGGAGCAAACGGG